CUGAGUAAGGGCGUGUGGUGGAUGCCUAGACUCUAAAAGGCGAGGAAGGACGCGGCAUGGCGGCGAUACGCUUCGGGGAGGUGCUCAGCAACCUUCGAUCCGGAGAUUUCCGAAUGGGGCAA
rnacentral:rRNA from 1 species